UACGUAGGGUACAAGCGUUAAUCGGAAUUACUGGGCGUAAAGCGUGCGCAGGCGGUUAUGCAAGACAGAUGUGAAAUCCCCGGGCUCAACCUGGGAACUGCAUUUGUGACUGCAUGGCUAGAGUGCGGCAGAGGGGGAUGGAAUUCCGCGUGUAGCAGUGAAAUGCGUAGAUAUGCGGAGGAACACCGAUGGCGAAGGCAAUCCCCUGGGCCUGCACUGACGCUCAUGCACGAAAGCGUGGGGAGCAAACAGG
rnacentral:rRNA from 1 species